GGAGGUGGAGAACACAGAAGCCCGCAAGACAGAGGCAAAGCAGUGAGAGCGAGUGUGUGCGCAUAAAGGCGCUUCGGUCCAUGUGUGUGUGUAUGUCUGUGUGUGUGUGUGUGUGGAACAAGGCCUCAGACCUCAGACAUUCCUUUCACUAUGACCUAGGGUACAAUUAAGGAGACGUCCCUCCCCCUGCCUCCCCUCCUCGGUGGACCACAUCAACGGAAGUCCUGGCCUAGCUGGAGGCUCUAAUGACGGGAGGGAGGCCAGGUCGCGACCCUGGGACCGUGGGGAAGGACAAGUCCUGGCUGUCCUGGCUCUUGACAGAGGAGAUAAAUCACUCAGCACACCGGAGGAUAGCCUUCCAGUCGGCAAGCUGGGAACUUCAUUAUCCCGCCCCUUCCACACAUUACCAUGCAGAUUGUCACUGAUUGGGCCGACGCCGCGGCAAACGCAGCCUACUUCUGUCACCGGGACAGGAGUCUCAGAUCAUUCUCAGCGGAGACGGAGACGGCAAAGGAGAGUUCGAUAGACAUUGUGAUGCUCCUUCCGACUUGCACAACUUGUCCACUAGGGGAUCCCCGCGUUCGCCACAAACCACCCAUCUUGAGAACGUCGGAGGGCAUCGACAUUUAUUUAUGGACAUUGAACAUACGUCGUGUUUAUAAACCACAAAGGAAUUGCAUUACAUCUUGUUCCGUGAGCCUUUGCUUCCAUUCAAUAACUAUAGGUCCGUUUGAAAGUCCUCUUUUUUCAUGAUUUAGUGAACACUAAUAUUGGCUUUUAAAACAGGAUAUGGAUGUGGUUUCUGGAAAUUACUUUAGAUGUACAAAUACAUAGAAAACAAGCAAUGGGAUGUACAGUGUGGAUGUGGCAGUUAUGAGCUUGAUCGCACACAAAUGUGGAAACUAUGUGUGAAGUCGUCCGAACGGUAUCAUCGAAUAACAUUAUGGUCUUGAAAAAGGAAAGGCCACAAUUAAAAAAAAAAAAAGAAGUAGGUAUUUUUUUUUUUUUUGGUUUGUUUGUCCUGUUAAUUUUAAAGACCAAUGUUACUGCUACACUGGAAAAAAAAAUGUUGAAAUGUGUGUGGUCCUGAAACAUGUCAUAUGA